rnacentral:rRNA from 1 species
ACCUGCAGUCGACGCGAAAGCCCCGCAAGGGGUCAGUAGAGUGGCAAACGGGCUGUGUAACACGUGGGUGACCUGCCUCAGAGUGGGGGAUAACGACCCGAAAGGGUCGCUAAUACCGCAUAACAUCCUGCUUUUGGAUAAGCGGAGAUCAAAGCCGGGGAUCGCAAGACCUGGCGCUUAGAGAGGGGCCCGCGGCCGAUUAGCUAGUUGGUGAGGUAACGGCUCACCAAGGCAACGAUCGGUAUCCGGCCUGAGAGGGCGGACGGACACACUGGGACUGAGACACGGCCCAGACUCCUACGGGAGGCAGCAGUGGGGAAUUGUUCGCAAUGGGCGCAAGCCUGACGACGCAACGCCGCGUGGAGGACGAAGAUCUUCGGGUCGUAAACUCCUUUCGAUCGGGAAGAACGUUUCCGGGGUGAAUAAUCCCGGAAAGUGACGGUACCGAGAGAAGAAGCCCCGGCUAACUCCGUGCCAGCAGCCGCGGUAAUACGGGGGGGGCAAGCGUUGUUCGGAAUUACUGGGCGUAAAGGGCUUGUAGGCGGCCAACUAAGUCCGACGUGAAAUCCCCAGGCUUAACCUGGGAACUGCGUCGGAUACUGGAUGGCUUGAAUUCGGGAGAGGGAUGCAGAAUUCCAGGUGUAGCGGUGAAAUGCGUAGAUAUCUGGAGGAAUACCGGUGGCGAAGGCGGCAUCCUGGACCGACAUUGACGCUGAGGAGCGAAAGCUAGGGGAGCAAACGGGAUUAGAUACCCCGGUAGUCCUAGCCCUAAACGAUGAAUGCUUGGUGCGGCGGGUAUCGAUCCCUGCCGUGCCGAAGCUAACGCAUUAAGCAUUCCGCCUGGGGAGUAC